GACGUAGGGGGCAAGCGUUGUCCGGAAUCAUUGGGCGUAAAGCGCUCGUAGGUGGUUCGGUAAGUCUGCAAAGAAAGACCCGGGCUCAACUCGGGGAACGGUGUGGAUACUACCGAUCUUGAGGCAAUCAGAGGAUGAUGGAAUUCCGGGUGUAGCGGUGGAAUGCGUAGAGAUCCGGAAGAACACCGGUGGCGAAGGCGGUCUGCUGGGGUCGAACUGACGCUGAGGCGCGACAGCGUGGGGAGCAAACAGG
rnacentral:rRNA from 1 species